GGUUGUACUGUCUCCUUUUUCUAAUCAGUGAAACUAAUCUCCCCGUGAAGAAGCGGGGAUACUACUAUAAGACGAGAAGACCCCAUGGAGCUUUAAACCCAACUACACCCCUAUUUACAACAACUACUUAACCAAUUGGACACUGUAUGCUUGGUUUUAGGUUGGGGCGACCACGGAGUAAAAAAUAACCUCCACGAUAAAUGGGCUUACCCCCUUAUCUAAGAGCCACACCUCUAAGAAUUAAAAUAUUAAUAUAAUAUGAUCCUUUCUUGAUCAACGGACCAAGUUACCCUGGGGAUAACAGCGCAAUCCAUUUCAAGAGCCCCUAUCGACAAAUGGG
rnacentral:rRNA from 1 species